rnacentral:rRNA from 1 species
UACGGGGGGGGCAAGCGUUGUUCGGAAUUACUGGGCGUAAAGGGCGCGUAGGCGGUUGGAUAAGUCAGCUGUGAAAACCACGGGCUUAACUCGUGGCCUGCAGUUGAGACUGUCUGGCUUGAGUGUGGGAGAGGAGAGUGGAAUUCCCGGUGUAGCAGUGAAAUGCGUAGAUAUCGGGAGGAAUACCGAUGGCGAAGGCAGGUCUCUGGGCUGACACUGACGCUCAUGCACGAAAGCGUGGGGAGCAAACAGG